AGUGGCGCACGGGUGCGUAACGCGUAACCAACCUACCCGGUUCUGGGGGAUAGCCCGCCGAAAGGCGGAUUAAUACCGCAUAAGAUAAUAGCCUGGCAUCAGGCAGUUAUUAAAGAUUUAUUGGAUUCGGAUGGGGUUGCGUGACAUUAGCUAGUUGGCGGGGUAACGGCCCACCAAGGCGACGAUGUCUAGGGGAGCUGAGAGGCUGGUCCCCCACACGGGCACUGAGAUACGGGCCCGACUCCUACGGGAGGCAGCAGUAGGGAAUAUUGGGCAAUGGUCGAGAGACUGAC
rnacentral:rRNA from 1 species